GACGAACGCUGGCGGCGUGCUUAACACAUGCAAGUCGAACGAAGAGCGAUGGAAGCUUGCUUCUAUCACUCUUAGUGGCGAACGGGUGAGUAACGCGUAAUCAACCUGCCCUUCAGAGGGGGACAACAGUUGGAAACGACUGCUAAUGCCGCAUACGAUCUGACCUCGGCAUCGAGGAUAGAUGAAAGGUGGCCUCUAUUUAUAAGCUAUCACUGAAGGAGGGGAUUGCGUCUGAUUAGCUAGUUGGAGGGGUAACGGCCCACCAAGGCGACGAUCAGUAGCCGGUCUGAGAGGAUGAACGGCCACAUUGGGACUGAGACACGGCCCAGACUCCUACGGGAGGCAGCAGUGGGGAAUCUUCCGCAAUGGACGAAAGUCUGACGGAGCAACGCCGCGUGAGUGAUGACGGCCUUCGGGUUGUAAAGCUCUGUUAAUCGGGACGAAAGGCCUUCUUGCGAAUAGUUAGAAGGAUUGACGGUACCGGAAUAGAAAGCCACGGCUAACUACGU
rnacentral:rRNA from 1 species